UCUUGGUCAUUUAGAGGAAGUAAAAGUCGUAACAAGGUCUCCGUUGGUGAACCAGCGGAGGGAUCAUUACCGAGUUUACAACUCCCAAACCCCUGUGAACAUACCACUUGUUGCCUCGGCGGAUCAGCCCGCUCCCGGUAAAACGGGACGGCCCGCCAGAGGACCCCUAAACUCUGUUUCUAUAUGUAACUUCUGAGUAAAACCAUAAAUAAAUCAAAACUUUCAACAACGGAUCUCUUGGUUCUGGCAUCGAUGAAGAACGCAGCAAAAUGCGAUAAGUAAUGUGAAUUGCAGAAUUCAGUGAAUCAUCGAAUCUUUGAACGCACAUUGCGCCCGCCAGUAUUCUGGCGGGCAUGCCUGUUCGAGCGUCAUUUCAACCCUCAAGCACAGCUUGGUGUUGGGACUCGCGUUAAUUCGCGUUCCCCAAAUUGAUUGGCGGUCACGUCGAGCUUCCAUAGCGUAGUAGUAAAACCCUCGUUACUGGUAAUCGUCGCGGCCACGCCGUUAAACCCCAACUUCUGAAUGUUGACCUCGGAUCAGGUAGGAAUACCCGCUGAAAUUAAGCAUAUCAAUAAGCGGAGGA
rnacentral:rRNA from 1 species